rnacentral:lncRNA from 1 species
GAAGCCGAAAGCAAGAAAAACAGAGUUUAGACUCAAGCAGGACAUGAAGUAUGAGAAAACCCGAGACUAGUGCAUCUCAGCUGGACACAAAGCUAUCACACACAAAUCUCAAAGUCGGCUACCCACAGACCCAUAUACACCAUUGCCCCCUGUAUUGUAUUUAAAAUAUAUACCGAAAUCCAGCCCCUGUCCAUCUAGAACUGCUCCUAUCAGUCCAUGGGCCCUGUACAAGCGCGUGGGCGCUGCAAUCACCCAUGCAGCCCUGUCACCCCCUCCUC